CCACAAGAUCAAGUCUACCCC
rnacentral:siRNA from 1 species